UGUGUGAAUAUGCUUGACCAUCAACAUUUUACGUGUUGUUUCUUUAUAAACUUACAUUUUUGUUCUGCCCUUUGCCCUUCUUGCACUAACAGCCAUCAUUGUCUUCUCUCCCAUAGUCAUACUCUCUCUGAGCUGGGAUGCUGUCUGCUUAUUUGAUGCCCUCUUGUGGCUCAGAUUAUUAGUAUGCUGUUUGCCAUGAAAACCAGGAAAUGCAUUGGCAUCUUCACAGACAGUCUGGGAAGCAGUGUGCGACUCCAGGUCCUAGACAAGAUCAGGUAGGAUCACUGCUGUUGUACUCCACCAGGAAGUCUGAUCUCCGUGUCUCAUUUUUGUCUCCUCUCAGCAACAGUGACAGCCCAUCCACCUGGGUCUUUUUCAUAUCAUACCCUGUGAUAUCCAGAACAGUGAGACCCACAUCAAUAUUUGCAUCAAGCAUCUUGUUUGUCUGAUUUGGUUUUAUCCCUGGUUCUCGAACUAGCAAUGGCACUUGGAUAUCAGACUCAUAAAACUGCCAUCUGUCUAUCGUCAAAGAAAACUGGCAGUGUGGAAGACAUUGUCUGAUGUGUAAAAGAUGUAUGUGUUGUCUAAUUCUCCAUUCAGUUCCAGUUUCUUCACUAGCUUCUCUAUCAGAUCAUACACUAACAGCAGAGUUUGCCACCUUUCUAUAAGCAUCAUCAAGAAACUGUAUUGAAAAGUUCAGUGAAGUCUUUGCUUGUCAAAUUAACCAGUGCUUGUUCUUCACAUGAAUAUUAAAAUUGCUGUUCAAGGUUUUUCAUGCUUAUUUUAUUAGAAGAAGAAAUUGAUGGGAUAAGCGAAGUCAAAGUAAUGGCCAGUGUUAAACAAAAUGAGCAGCUCUACAGGGACACUGAAAAGGAUUGUCAACUAUUCUGAAACUGCAAAACUGAGUAUGCAGCACAGGGCAGUAGUGUCGGCUUUCAGCGUACCUUUUCACAGAUCUCUGCAGAGUUGUUCUACCAUGAAAGUUAUUUGAGGAAAGAAAUCAACACACACCUGCCUGAUGGAUCCAAG